CACGUAUUUAGCCGGAGCUUCUUUUUCAGGUACCGUCACUUUCUUCCCUGCUGAUAGAGCUUUACAUAACGAAUUACUUCUUCACUCACGCGGCGUCGCUGCAUCAGAGUUCCCUCCAUUGUGCAAUAUUCUCCACUGCUGCCUCCCGUAGGAGUCUGGGCCGUGUCUCAGUCCCAAUGUGGCCGUCCACCCUCUCAGGCCGGCUACUGAUCGUUGCCUUGGUAAGCCUUUACCUUUCCAACUAGCUAAUCAGACGCGGGUCCAUCUCAUACCAGAUUUCUCCUUUUCACACAAAUACAUGCGUCUUCGUGCGCUUAUGCGGUUUUACCACCAGUUUCCCCGAUGCUAUCCCCCUGUACUGAGGCAGGUUGCCCACGCGUUACUCACCCGUCCGCCACUAAGUUAUUUCUUUCCAUCUCCGUAAGAUUUCCAACAAACACUCCGUUCGACUUUGCAUGUGUUAAGCACGCCGCCAGCGUUCAUCCUGAGCCAGGAUCAAACUC
rnacentral:rRNA from 1 species